ensembl:lincRNA
GCACUUUUGUCCAACAUGAAACACUUUGUUCUUGUGGUUUUGUUUUUGGUUGCAGUCUCCAAUAUUUCUGCAUUCCCAAGAUGGUUACCUCUGCCGGGUUCAGGGAGACAUGAUGAUAGGAUGCCUCAUCACCAUGGAGAGCACCCUAAGUUCCCAGGAAGAGACCCACACUGCAAGGGAAAGACAACAGCUGCACCACCUUCAACCACCACUGUCACUACUAGAACAAUCCCUGUUAAAACAAGUACGACUGUACAAUCUACAACCUCCAGCACAACUGUGUCGUCUGCGUCUACUACUGUGUCCAGCACUGCUGGGACGACUGCACCUAACAGAGGGGAUAUUAUGAUAGUCUGACCUAACAUAGAAAAAUAAAGCUGUCUCUGCCCUUUCCUUUAUGGAAGUUAAUCCAUUUGUUUUACUGCAAUGUUCUACAGUACAAUUCUAUGCAGAAUAAUUAAAACAACAAAUACAAACGUUUUGAAAAACAUUCAAUAUUUUAGGUAAGAUCAGAUCAAAAGAGCUUUUUAGUCCCUGCAUCUUCAAAAUAAUUGUAAAUUUUAAAAUUAAUGUUUGCAAAAAGAAAAAUUGUUGGAGACUUCUCUCUCUUUUAUGUCUUUUGUUUUAUUAACACAUCUGAAAAAUCUCAACAGCUAACUGCAAAACAAAGAACAAUAUCCUUCAUUUAUCUAUUAUACCCUAGAUGCCAGCUAUCUUAAUUUGUAAGGCAUCACAUCAUAUUAGAAAAAAAAUAAUGAUUUUAUAUUUUAUAUUCCUUUCACUUUUUCUGAAAGGUAUGGGGAUUCAGCAUUGUUAACUAUGCAUUGUUAACAUUGUUAAGUACCUAUGUUUUCCUCUUCUGGUGUUUUAAGUUGUUACAAAACUAAAUUAGGUUAGUAGGUUAAAGUUAUUAGUUUGUAAGUACGUAGUCUUUCAGCCUCAAUGGAUUUUUAGCCAGCUGUUUGUGUCUUUCACACAAUUCUUAUAAAUCUAUGCUAUGCUAUAAAUCUUAAAUAAAAUCUGUUCUGUCAGCAGCAAUGAGUUUGGUUCUUAUCUACUAUAUUGAUUGGAAUACGAUUUAAUAAAUUAAGUAUAGGUGGUUCCAAAUGUGCUUGCAUCCAUCCAUUCAUUGUCAUUAUUCCUAUUUCACAUAAAAUAAAAUAAAAUAAAUGUACUCUGAGAUGUUAAACAAUCUGACAGCUCCUCAUGCUCCCUAUCAUUGCAAAAUCAAUUUUAUUUAUUGGCUGUUAGAAGCUUGUCCACAUUGUUUGUUUAACGUUCUCUUUCCACAUUCAUUAUCUUGUGCCAUUUUGUUGAACAGAAAUUGUGACAGAGUUAAAAGCCCUAAUUAUGAUGUCUGAAUAGCAGUAUUUGUUCAUCUCUAUGUGUAACUUCAUUAUUGAGCAAUUUUGAUGUGGGAGUUAUUGAACAUUACUUUACCCAAUACCCUGUAAAAUUUACUUUUGGUGUAUAUGUUUGUUAAAAAGUGCAAAGGUUUCUCUGAAUAAAAUCAAGCUGGCAGCUUAUGCAAACCCUAUACAGUAGCAGCAAUAACACUUUUGUUUUAUCAUACUAGAAGCAAGAGGGGUGUUCUUUGAUAUUCAAC